UGGUUCUGGCAUCGAUGAAGAACGCAGCGAAAUGCGAUAAGUAAUGUGAAUUGCAGAAUUCAGUGAAUCAUCGAAUCUUUGAACGCACAUUGCGCCCCUUGGUAUUCCGAGGGGCAUGCCUGUUCGAGCGUCAUUUAAUCCUUCAAGCUCUGCUUGGUGUUGGGUGCAGGCCUACCAAGGCCCGCCCAUAACUCGUUGGCGGUUGUCACCGGCUGAAAGCGUAGCAAAAUAUGCUGGAGCCCGGCGGCGGCCUGUCAGGUAACCACAACCGAAAGUUUGACCUCGGAUCAGGUAGGGAUACCCGCUGA
rnacentral:misc_RNA from 1 species